GGUAAUACGUAGGGUGCAAGCGUUAUCCGGAAUUAUUGGGCGUAAAGGGCUCGUAGGCGGUUCGUCGCGUCCGGUGUGAAAGUCCAUCGCUUAACGGUGGAUCCGCGCCGGGUACGGGCGGGCUUGAGUGCGGUAGGGGAGACUGGAAUUCCCGGUGUAACGGUGGAAUGUGUAGAUAUCGGGAAGAACACCAAUGGCGAAGGCAGGUCUCUGGGCCGUCACUGACGCUGAGGAGCGAAAGCGUGGGGAGCGAACAGGAUUAGAUACCCUGGUAGUCCACGCCGUAAACGGUGGAUGCUGGAUGUGGGGACCAUUCCACGGUCUCCGUGUCGGAGCCAACGCGUUAAGCAUCCCGCCUGGGGAGUACGGCCGCAAGGCUAAAACUCAAAGAAAUUGACGGGGGCCCGCACAAGCGGCGGAGCAUGCGGAUUAAUUCGAUGCAACGCGAAGAACCUUACCUGGGCUUGACAUGUUCCCGACGACGCCAGAGAUGGCGUUUCCCUUCGGGGCGGGUUCACAGGUGGUGCAUGGUCGUCGUCAGCUCGUGUCGUGAGAUGUUGGGUUAAGUCCCGCAACGAGCGCAACCCUCGCCCUGUGUUGCCAGCACGUCGUGGUGGGAACUCACGGGGGACCGCCGGGGUCAACUCGGAGGAAGGUGGGGAUGACGUCAGAUCAUCAUGCCCCUUACGUCCAGGGCUUCACGCAUGCUACAAUGGCCGGUACAACGGGAUGCGACACCGCGAGGU
rnacentral:rRNA from 1 species